rnacentral:lncRNA from 1 species
CAUAAUUUUACUGUUCGUUUCUUCUUUUUUUUCUUAUAUAAUACUCUUACUUUUCUUCCAUCCAAACAUAACAUUAAUGUUUUAAUUAACAAUAAACAAGCAUUUUUCUAAAUAAAAAAAGAAAUCCCAUCACAUGGAAAACUUGGGGUGAGAAAAUCCAACAUAAUUCCAAGUACACAAUUUAAUGAAGCAUAUCAUCUCUACAAACAAACCAAAACCAUCAUAAUCUUGUCAUGAGAAGAAGCUCUCCAGGAAUUAAUACAACUUGAAUGUCAUAGAUAAACAAACCAUCAUCCUUCAACCAAAUGUUGCAAUGAGGAAGGAUUUAUAGACGCUCAUGAACUUGGCCACAAAAGCUGUCAAUGUAGAAAAGAAAACAAUG